AGUGAACGCUGGCGGUAGGCCUAACACAUGCAAGUCGAACGGCAGUACAGUAAGAGCUUGCUCUUACGGGUGGCGAGUGGCGGACGGGUGAGGAAUACAUCGGAAUCUACUUUUUCGUGGGGGAUAACGUAGGGAAACUUACGCUAAUACCGCAUACGACCUACGGGUGAAAGCAGGGGAUAUUCGGACCUUGCGCGAUUGAAUGAGCCGAUGUCGGAUUAGCUAGUUGGCGGGGUAAAGGCCCACCAAGGCGACGAUCCGUAGCUGGUCUGAGAGGAUGGUCGCCCACACUGGAACUGAGACACGGUCCAGGCUCCUACGGUAGGCAGCAGUGGGGUAUAUUGGGCAAUGGGCGCAAGCCUGGUCCAGCCAUACCGCGUGGGUUGAGGAGGCCUUCGGGUUGUAAAGCCCUUUUGUUGGGAGAGAAAAGCAGCAGGUUAAUACCCCGCUGUUCUGACGGUACCCAAAGAAUAAGCACCGGCUAACUUCGUG
rnacentral:rRNA from 1 species